CAGCAGCCGCCACGGUAAUACGUAGGUGGCAAGCGUUGUCCGGAAUUACUGGGCGUAAAGCGUGCGCAGGCGGUUCGUUAAGACAGAUGUGAAAUCCCCGGGCUUAACCUGGGAACUGCAUUUGUGACUGGCGAGCUAGAGUAUGGCAGAGGGGGGUAGAAUUCCACGUGUAGCAGUGAAAUGCGUAGAGAUGUGGAGGAAUACCGAUGGCGAAGGCAGCCCCCUGGGCCAAUACUGACGCUCAUGCACGAAAGCGUGGGGAGCAAACAGGAUUAGAUACCCGGGUAGUCCCUGUCUCUUAUAC
rnacentral:rRNA from 1 species